GUUUAUACCUGAACUUAGUAUCUA
rnacentral:miRNA from 1 species